GACGAACGCUGGCGGCGUGCUUAACACAUGCAAGUCGAACGGAAAGGCCUGCUUUCCCUUGUGGAUUGCGGGUACUCGAGUGGCGAACGGGUGAGUAACACGUGAGUGAUCUGCCCCCAACUUGGGUAUAAGCCUGGGAAACUGGGUCUAAUUCCCGAUAGGACUGCAGGGUGGUGCCGGUGGUGGAAAACGAUUUUCUAGUGGUUGGGGAUGAGCUCGCGGCCUAUCAGCUUGUUGGUGGGGUAAUGGCCUACCAAGGCGGGGACGGGUAGCCGGCCUGGGAGGGUGGACGGCCACAUUGGGACUGAGACACGGCCCAGACUCCUACGGGAGGCAGCAGUGGGGAAUAUUGCACAAUGGGCGGAAGCCUGAUGCAGCGACGCCGCGUGGGGGAUGACGGCCUUCGGGUUGUAAACUCCUUUCGACCGCGAGGAAGCCACCUGGUUGGAAGGGUGGUGACGGUAGUGGUAGAAGAAGCACCGGCUAACUACGUG
rnacentral:rRNA from 1 species